rnacentral:rRNA from 1 species
UACGUAGGGGGCAAGCGUUGUCCGGAAUCAUUGGGCGUAAAGAGCGUGUAGGCGGCCUGAUAAGUCGGUUGUGAAAGUCAAGGGCUCAACCCUUGAAUGCCGACCGAUACUGUCAGGCUAGAGUCCGGUAGGGGACCACGGAAUUCCUGGUGUAGCGGUGAAAUGCGCAGAUAUCAGGAGGAACACCGGUGGCGAAGGCGGGUCUCUGGGGCCGAUACUGACGUGAGGAGCGAAAGCGUGGGGGAGCGAACAGG